GACGAACGCUGGCGGCGUGCUUAACACAUGCCAGUCGAACGGAAAGGCCUCUUUCGGGGGGUACUCGAGUGGCGAACGGGUGAGUAACACGUGAGUAACCUGCCCUUGACUUUGGGAUAACUUCAGUAAACUGGGGCUAAUACCGGAUAGGAGCUCCUGCUGCAUGGUGGGGGUUGGAAAGUUUCGGCGGUUGGGGAUGGACUCGCGGCUUAUCAGCUUGUUGGUGGGGUAGUGGCUUACCAAGGCUUUGACGGGUAGCCGGCCUGAGAGGGUGACCGGCGACAUUGAGACUGAGAAGCGGACCAGACUCCUACGGGAGGCAGCAGUGGGGAAGUUUGAACAAUGGGUGGAAGCCUGAUGCAGCAACGCCGUGUGCGGGAUGACGGCCUUCGGGUUGUAAACCGCUUUCGCUCAUGACGAAGCUUUGUGUGACGGUAGUGGGUAAAGAAGCACCGGCUAACUACGUG
rnacentral:rRNA from 1 species